UUGUAUGGCAAGGUAACAAAUGACAUACAGGGGAACUCUUCCUUUGUGGAACCUCAGGUAAGACCCAUUACAUGCUUAAGUUAUGAGCAUAUUUACCCUGAUAUCAGUGCAAAAAGGAUAACUGGUUACACUGCUCUCUUGUUCUUCAGUAAAACUGAUGGCAUCUUAAUGGGAGACAUGUAGCCAUAUGCAGGGAAGGAGGAGGUCAGCCCAACACAAAUUGCCAUAGCAAUGCUGGAGGCAGCAUUCAUUUUGAUGCAAGCUGACUAAGUGGAUUUUGCACAUGAAAGGGCCAAUUUACAGCCUCCAAGGACAGCACCAAUUUCUACCUGCGCUUGGACAGCCUGAGCGCGGAGGACAGCGCUAUGUGUUACUGCACC